rnacentral:rRNA from 1 species
AAUGAACGCUGGCGGCAUGCCUUACACAUGCAAGUCGAACGGCAGCAUGACCUAGCUUGCUAGGUUGAUGGCGAGUGGCGAACGGGUGAGUAAUGCAUCGGAACGUGCCUUUUAGUGGGGGAUAACGUAGCGAAAGUUACGCUAAUACCGCAUAUUCUCUGAGGAGGAAAGCAGGGGACCUUCGGGCCUUGCGCUAGAAGAGCGGCCGAUGUCGGAUUAGCUAGUUGGUGAGGUAAAGGCUCACCAAGGCAACGAUCCGUAGCGGGUCUGAGAGGAUGAUCCGCCACACUGGGACUGAGACACGGCCCAGACUCCUACGGGAGGCAGCAGUGGGGAAUUUUGGACAAGGGGCGCAAGCCUGAUCCAGCCAUGCCGCGUGAGUGAAGAAGGCCUUCGGGUUGUAAAGCUCUUUCGGCUGGGAAGAAAUCGCACCCUCUAAUACAGGGUGUGGAUGACGGUACCAGCAUAAGAAGCACCGGCUAACUACGUG